GUAGCCAACACUGUUUUAUAUAAAUAUAUAUAUAUAUUUUAUUUUUUUAAUUUGGGUAACCCCCAAACUAUUGGGACAUAUAAAAAAAGACAACUCUGUUCUGCAGAGUAGCUGUUGACAUUAUAGUUGUGCAGGCACUUUGUUGACUCUAGAGAACCUCGAGCCAAUCGCACAUCCCCGUGACGGCGACUUUGCAUUCAGAUGUCAUCCAUAUCAACUUUCGAUGCCAGUUUCUGGGCCCUGGUGACUACGGGUAACAGGGAAUCAGGGUUCCAUUCCGUACAGGCACCCUGAGAAAUGGCUACCACAUGCAAUGAAGGCAGCAGGUGCGCAAAUUACCCAUUCCCGACGCGGGAAGGUAGUGAC